GCGUCGGUGGUUCAGUGGUAGAAUACUCGCCUGCCACGCGGGUGGCCCGGGGUUCGAUUCCCGGCCGACGCA
rnacentral:tRNA from 1 species